AACGUAGGUGGCAAGCGUUGUCCGGAUUUACUGGGCGUAAAGAGCGCGCAGGCGGCUGGUCAAGUCCGAUGUGAAAUCCCUCGGCUCAACCGAGGAACUGCAUCCGAUACUGGCGGGCUUGAAUCCGGGAGAGGGAUGUGGAAUUCCAGGUGUAGCGGUGAAAUGCGUAGAUAUCUGGAGGAACACCGGUGGCGAAGGCGGCAUCCUGGACCGGUAUUGACGCUGAGGCGCGAAAGCUAGGGGAGCAAACGGG
rnacentral:rRNA from 1 species